ensembl:miRNA MIR203B microRNA 203b
GCCUCCUUGGUGCAGUGGUUCUUAACAGUUCAACAGUUCUCUAGCAUAAUUGUGAAAUGUUUAGGACCACUUGACCAG